CGCGGUACUCUGACCGUGCAAAGGUAGCAUAGUAAUUAGUUCUUUAAUUGAGGACUGGAAUGAACGGUUGGACGAGAAGUUAGCUGUCUCUAAUGUAAAUCUUGAAGUUUACUUUUAAGUGAAAAGGCUUAAAUAAUAUAAAGGGACGAUAAGACCCUAUAAAACUUUACUUCUUGUUUAAAAAGUAGUUGAAUUAAGGUAUAAAUUUGCUUUUGGAAUAAGUGUUUUGUUGGGGCGAUAGAAAUAUAAAUUGUUAACUGUUUUUAAAUCAAAAAUAAUGAUAAUUAGUUUAAAUGAUCCUUUAGUAUGGAUUAUAAGAUUAAGUUACUUUAGGGAUAACAGCGUAAUUUCUCUUGAGAGACCUAAUCGACAGAGUUAGUUGCGACCUCGAUGUUGAAUUAAGAUAUCAUUUAGGUGUAGAAGUCUAAAUA
rnacentral:rRNA from 1 species